rnacentral:rRNA from 1 species
UACAGAGGGUGCAAGCGUUAAUCGGAAUUACUGGGCGUAAAGCGCGCGUAGGUGGUUCGUUAAGUUGGAUGUGAAAUCCCCGGGCCUAACCUGGGAACUGCAUUUGUGACUGCAUAGCUAGAGUCUGUCAGAGGGGGGUGGAAUUCCACGUGUAGCAGUGAAAUGCGUAGAGAUGUGGAGGAACACCGAUGGCGAAGGCAGCCCCCUGGGAUAAGACUGACGCUCAUGUACGAAAGCGUGGGGAGCAAACAGG